ACAGUUUUCAGCGACGGAUAUCUUGGCUAGCACCUAUGAAGGGCGCAGCGAAGUGCGAUAAUCGUUGUGAAUUGCAACUCCGUGAACCAAUGGCCUCUUGAACGUGCAUUGCGCUCUUGGGAUGCCUGAGAGCAUGUCCGCUUCAGUG
rnacentral:rRNA from 1 species